GCACUCACCGUGACCGUCACCUCAUCGUCGUGCAGGAUGAGGGCCGAGUAGAUGCAGGCGAGCUCCGAGACGGAGGCCAUAGUGCUGGCGAGUGCUGAGCGGACGCUGCCGGGCACGGUGCUAGUCGCCGGAUGAAGUGAGGGCCUCACCCCAACGCGGCCUUAGCUUCCUCGGAAGGACCGAGCACCUUAGCGGCAGCUGAGGAAAAGAGGUCCCGCGCCUGCGCGCAGCCUCUUAUACUGGUCACGCGGACCAAUCGGUGCCCCGCGCCUGGCGGAAGAGGCGGAGCGAGAACCGCCCGCACCGACCACUGUUGGCGCCUGCGCACAAAGUGCGACUCGCUCGUUCAAAAAGUUGGUGGGUUCCUGCAACUGCUGGUUGUUUGGGUUAGGCCAAAACUCAGGACUCGUGAACAGUAAAAAUAUUUUUAAGAAAAAGUUAUCUAGGUAAAUGGCUUUCACCCCCAUCUACUGUAGCCCGUGUGACACUAUUUGGACAUUUAAUGACGCCGCCAGCCUUUCCUAGCUGGCUGUGACCACCUGGAGCGCAGGAGCUAAAUUUCAGCCUGGCGGCCUCUGGUGCUUACCACAGCGUCUCGGAUGAAUUAAGUGAUGGAGGAGGAAAUGAGAAGCUUCCAGCGUGACGAUAGCAGUACCAUUGGAGCGCCUACUGUGUCCCAGGCACUGAGCCACACUCUACAAGGAUUCAUUUAAUCUUCACACAGCAUAAGAGAAGGUGGUGCAAUAGCUCAAGUUUUUGGCUUCUCCUCACCUGAGCUGGUUCUGGAGCUGCACUCAGGACUACAUGUAAAAAAAGUCAGUCCAGAAGCUGGCAACAGAGUGAACACUUCACACUAUAACGAGACCAAGAGGCAAGUUCGGAAAGAAUGAAGAACCGGAAGAGCUGUCAUCCCUGACUAAAGCCUCCAGCCUCCCUCUUUACAGGUGAUCUCAGUCCAGCCUCUGAGAGCUUUAUGAGUGCUAACAGAGUAUCAAUGAGCAUGAGCAGUCUUCCGUCACCUCCUGUUAAUGCUCUUACCACGCGUUCUGAGGUUCUCAGCCCUGCUGUUGAAGUCUGCUAGAGGACCCAGAUAGUCCAAGGGGUAAACAGAAACCACAUAUGUCCUCUUAGAAGUGGAUAGUAGGGAGAAGCGGUGAUAGUGGAAAUACUGGAGGAGGGAGAACACACACAGAAAGGCCCAAUUAGUCAGGACUCACUUGGGUUGUGCAUGAUGCUGAUAUCCAGGUCCCAGCUGAGAUCCUGCUCUCAUCUCCACAGCCACAGAACACUAAUAGGAACAUUACAGAAGAGGAAAAGAUCAGCUACUCUCUCUAGAGUCUAUAAACACAGUUCUGCUCAGACGGGCUCAGCCCCGGUGGAAUCCCACAUUGCUUUCUAGUGCAGCAGAGACACCUACGUUAAAAUACCAGAUCCGUGCAGUUUAUUUGACAGAGGCCCCAAAGCUGGUGAGCUGGAAGGGUCUCUAGAGAUCAUGCAGGUAAUUUUCUUGAGAAGGUUAGUGACCAGGGCCAGAGCUUGGCCUCCUAACACCAUCUGCCCUUCCCAUGCUCUUUCUAGAGGAGCCUCUCAUCAGGAGUAACAGUGAGUAACAGUUCCACAGGGCACUGUGCUUCUGUGAAGAUUCAUUCCCACCAAUUUGAUGUGAACUGUUAUUAUUCUACAGGGAUGCUCUCUGACUCGAUCCUCGGGCCCUGUCCCUCUACACUGAAAACAGGAACCUUGAGCCAGAGAGCUCCAGUAGGAGCAGACUAAACAAACAGGAGGACCUUGGCAGGUUCGCGGGGAACCAUGCCUACAGGCCCCACUGGCAAUGUCAGAUCGGACCUCAGCUGCUUCAGAGAGCAGGAGAAGCUGGAGCCGGGGGCUUAAAAUAGGUUGCCCCUAACUUUCAUGAAGCAGACAAAUAUUUAACUUUUACCCCUACCCUUGUUUCUACAUCAGUCCAUUCCGACUCUGUACCAUCUGGUGGGGCAGGUGCUGCUGUGGAAGAUCUUCGUUUUCGACUGUGGAAAAACAGGAAAAAUACUAGACAUGGGAUAUCACUACACUCUUUCAGAUAAUUAAUGCUACAUCUUAUAGGAUAUUGUGUUCUGCAAGAAUAAGCAGCUAAGAAAGCUAUAGCCCUCUGAAGAGAUACAUCUGAUGAUCACUCACCCAGUUGGCGAUUCUUGUUUUAAAGUCUCAAUAUCCGUAAACUGAACAGACUGUCCACCACCUCUUGUUUUAUAAACAUCACCCUGAAGCCGAGAGAAAAGGUCAGCAUUAUACUUUGAUAUACCUGAAUGAUAAACAUGUAUUUCAAACUGAACUUAAGAUUCUCCAUGAAACAGUAAAUAAAGUCCUAGUCACAAAAACCAGAUGGUGCUGCAGACUGUGCUAUUAAAAUACUUGAGAAAUUA